rnacentral:sRNA from 1 species
UAUCUUCAUCUUCUUCUUCUUCUUCUUCUUUCUCAUUCUCUUCAUUUUCUUCUUCGUCUUCUUCUC